AAAUCUUGGAGCCACUUUAAUGUGACUUCACUAAAUUGCCUUCGUCCAGUGCCUCACAGACAGCAUCCCAGCACAUCAUGGAGAGCUAAGUGACAGAACAGGCAGCUCCUCUUCUCCCUGACAUGGGCAGUGUUUAAUCAUUCCCUUUGCAAAGGAUCCCCAAAUUGGGAGAGGCUGGAUGGAUGACUAAGUCAAGUUGGUGCAAAAUGAGUCACGUUUCUUGAAGGUCACUUCCCCAAAUGUAUGAGCCACCAAAGGGAAAGGAAAACUAUUUCUUAAGAGUAAUGAAAACGGCAUUAGAAAAAGUGGAUGAGAAUAUCAAAGCCAGCCAAUCCUCCUUUCUUCUUCCAUAUAUGGUGGUCCCCACCCCCAGAAGUCAAUACCAGAAACUCCUACACCAUUACUUCAGAAUAAAGAGGAAAGCAAAGUUCUCUAGUCUGCAAUCCUUUGACAUUCCAGACCACAGAUAAACACGAACCCUACCAAACCAGUAACACAAACAACCUGUGCCUCCGUGGAGGGCACGAAGGCAUGAUUCUCACAGGCACAAUCAUUAAGCUCCUUUACUUGAAACUACUGUUACAUCUUUCUGAACCUUCCAAUUCCAAUCUCAACCACAAACUGAAAGUUAAUAAAAAGCCCCUGAAUGAUUCAUAUAAAUCCUUUAAAUCUAAGAACAGGAGCCAACACUAAAAAAGCAAUAGCCCAUUUAAAUUUCAAUAGCUUGAAUGCCAGACAUCCCUGAUUGUCACAUUUUGUCACCCACCAAGUCACCAUUUCAUGUUCCUAGUUCACUGUGGGAUCCAGACAUAUUCCACUCUAACAAAUACAACUUGCCAGAAGUAUUUCUGAGUGUGGUUAUUUACGAUUUUCACAAACAACUUUUUCAAAUAUUCCUUCAAUAGGUUCUAAGAAUUAAGUAGCAUGAAAUCCAAAUCUAAAAUCAUUGUCUCCAUGCUUCAUUGAAGAAAAUGAACGUGAAAAAAUCCAAUAGCAGCUGCAAACCAUUUAAGAAUUCCUAGUUAAACUGCAAAAUACAUUUUCAACCAUUUAGCCAUAACAACUUCUAAACGGAGAAAGUUGCUUCUUUAUAUAAACCACCUCUGUUUACCAAACAUCAGAGAAUCUCCGGGCAGAGGGCUACUGCAGGAUGGGAAUAGUAAGAGAAUGUUACAACCCAUGAGGUGCUGAUCUGCACACACCACCGUGAGGAAAUACCUUAAGUGAUUAAAGACAAACGCCACCUGCAUGCUUGGCAAAGGAGUCCACUGCUAUCGCCACACACUCUCCCCAGUGAGAGAGGGGAAACGAUGGACUGAAGUCCCACAGUGGAUUAGAACUGGGCACAAAAGGAGCCAGGAACAGAAGAUGGCAGCAUAGGAAGGGAAUGUUAUGCUUUGCCCCAGCUGGGGACUCUGGCAGUAUUAUCACUUAGGCAUCCUGAAGCCCAAACUCAAGAAUAAAGAAUUAAAAUUUCAUAUCUUCUUUGACUUAGUAUCCAGAAAAUUUUGUUGAAUUCUGACAUAUCUCAAAUUUCUUUGCGUAUAUGUUAACAAGAUACUCCUAUUUAUAAAUUCAUAUGGCUAUUUGGCUAUUCUGUCAAAAUUAGCCUUUAGGCCAGGCAGAGUGGCUCAUGCCUGUAAUUCCAACACUUUGAGAGGCCAAGGCAGGAGGAUCGCUUAAAAUCAG
rnacentral:lncRNA from 1 species